rfam:Chlorocebus sabaeus isolate 1994-021 chromosome 10, whole genome shotgun sequence.
AGAUGUGAAGAGGACCUAGUGGCAGCCUCUUUCCCCACUGCUAACCAGGGUUUAUUCAGCUGGUCUGACUGUCCGGACUGGGCUGCUCCUUUCUCCUUUACCAUUUCAGGCAAGUCCCUCCUGAAAUUGCAUUCCUAGCAGAAAAGGGUGACUUUCUCAGAAGAAGGUGGCUUUGCUCCUUUAAAGUGGGA